GGUAACGUAGCUCAGCUGGUAGAGCGGCCCCUUCAUACGGGGUAGGUCAGGGGUUCGAAGCCCUUCGUUACCACCA
rnacentral:tRNA from 1 species